rnacentral:rRNA from 1 species
CCUACGGGAGGCAGCAGUGGGGAAUUUUGGACAAUGGGCGCAAGCCUGAUCCAGCAAUGCCGCGUGAGUGAAGAAGGCCUUCGGGUUGUAAAGCUCUUUUGUCAGGGAAGAAACGGCAGUUUCUAAUACAGAUUGCUAAUGACGGUACCUGAAGAAUAAGCACCGGCUAACUACGUGCCAGCAGCCGCGGUAAUACGUAGGGUGCAAGCGUUAAUCGGAAUUACUGGGCGUAAAGCGUGCGCAGGCGGUUUUGUAAGUUUGUCGUGAAAUCCCCGGGCUCAACCUGGGAAUGGCGAUGAAGACUGCAAGGCUAGAAUCUGGCAGAGGGGGGUAGAAUUCCACGUGUAGCAGUGAAAUGCGUAGAGAUGUGGAGGAACACCGAUGGCGAAGGCAGCCCCCUGGGUCAAGAUUGACGCUCAUGCACGAAAGCGUGGGGAGCAAACAGGAUUAGAUACCCUGGUAGUCCACGCCCUAAACGAUGUCUACUAGUUGUCGGGUUUUAAUUAACUUGGUAACGCAGCUAACGCGUGAAGUAGACCGCCUGGGGAGUACGGUCGCAAGAUUAAAACUCAAAUGAAUUGACGG